GGAAGUAAAAGUCGUAACAAGGUCUCCGUUGGUGAACCAGCGGAGGGAUCAUUACCGAGUUAUCAACUCCCAAACCCCUGUGAACAUACCUGAACGUUGCCUCGGCGGGACCGCCCCGGCGCCCUAGCGGCCCGGAACCAGGCGCCCGCCGGAGGACCCAAACUCUUGCUUUGAACAGUGGCAUACUCUCUGAGUCUCACAAACAAAAAUAAAUUAAAACUUUCAACAACGGAUCUCUUGGCUCUGGCAUCGAUGAAGAACGCAGCGAAAUGCGAUAAGUAAUGUGAAUUGCAGAAUUCAGUGAAUCAUCGAAUCUUUGAACGCACAUUGCGCCCGCCAGCAUUCUGGCGGGCAUGCCUGUCCGAGCGUCAUUUCAACCCUCAGGGAACCCCUUCGGGGGGGACCUGGUGUUGGGGGCCGGCCGCCCGCGCCGCCCCCGAAAUGCAGUGGCGACCUCGCCGCAGCCUCCCCUGCGUAGUAGCACAACCUCGCACCGGAGCGCGGAGACGGUCACGCCGUAAAACGCCCAACUCUCAAGAGUUGACCUCGGAUCAGGUAGGAAUACCCGCUGAACUUAAGCAUAUCAAUAAGCGGAGGA
rnacentral:rRNA from 1 species